rnacentral:rRNA from 1 species
AAUGAACGUUGGCGGCGUGGAUUAGGCAUGCAAGUCGUACGCUUUAUGUAGCAAUACAUGAAGAGUGGCGAAAGGGAGAGUAAUGCAUGGUUAGCUACCCUCGGGACUGGGAUAGCGGCGGGAAACUGCCGGUAAUACCAGAUGACGUCUUCGGACCAAACGUGUAAACCGGCCCGAGGAGGCGACCAUGUCCUAGCAGCUAGUUGGCGGUGUAAUGGACCACCAAGGCUAAGACGGGUAUGGGGCGUGAGAGCGUGCCCCCACUCACUGGGACUGAGACACUGCCCAGACACCUACGGGUGGCUGCAGUCGAGAAUCUUCGGCAAUGGGCGCAAGCCUGACCGAGCGACGCCGCGUGCGGGAUGAAGGCCUUCGGGUUGUAAACCGCUGUCGUAGGGGAGGAAGGUCUGGUGUAGAGCCAGGCUUGACCGAUCCUAGGAGGAAGGGCCGGCUAAUCUCGUGCCAGCAGCCGCCGUAAAAC